AUGCUCUCUGUGUCUCUAGUGCUGCUCUUGGCAGCCACAUCCUAUGUAAUGGGUCAGACACUGACUGAGUCUGAAGCAGUGACCAUUAAACCUGGUGGAUCUCAUAAACUGACCUGUACAGCUUCUGGGUUUAACUUUGGUAGCUAUAGCAUGCACUGGGUCAGACAGGCUCCUGGAAAAGGACUGGAAUGGGUGUCAUAUAUCAACUCUGGCAGUAGUAGUAAAUAUUACUCCAGUGCUGUUGAGGGGAGAUUCACCAUCUCCAGAGACAACAGUAAGAAUCAGCUCUAUCUACAGAUGAACAGUCUGAAGACUGAAGACACAGCUGUGUAUUACUGUGUGUUUGUGGCCUCAUCUGAGUCAGUGGUGAAGAAUCCUGGACAGUCUGUGACUCUGUCCUGUGCUGUGUCUGGAUUCUCUAUGAGCAGCUACUACAUGCACUGGAUCCGUCAGAAACCAGGGAAAGGACUGGAGUGGAUUGGAGCUAUUGACAGUGGGACUGGCACAGUCUUUGCCCAGUCUCUCCAGGGUCAGUUCUCCAUCACCAAAGGCACCAGCAAAAACAAACUGCAUUUAGAGGUGAAAAGCCUGAAAACUGAAGACGCAGCUGCUUAUUACUAUGCCAGAGACUCAGUGCUGAACAAAAAAAUAAGACAAUAA